UCCUGACCGCGUGACUGGCGCAAAAGGAUGGAGAACCAUCGGGGAGCGCGGGUGCAGAUGCCGCGCGCCUGGGCGACUCAC
rnacentral:ncRNA from 2 species